GACGAAUGCUGGCGGCGUGCUUAACACAUGCAAGUCGAACGGAAAGGCCCUGCUUGCAGGGUACUCAAGUGGCGAACGGGUGAGUAACACGUGGGUGAUCUGCCCUGCACUUCGGGAUAAGCCUGGGAAACUGGGUCUAAUACCGGAUAGGAGCCAUUUUUAGUGUGAUGGUUGGAAAGUUUUUUCGGUGUAGGAUGAGCUCGCGGCCUAUCAGCUUGUUGGUGGGGUAAUGGCCUACCAAGGCGGCGACGGGUAGCCGGCCUGAGAGGGUGGACGGCCACAUUGGGACUGAGAUACGGCCCAGACUCCUACGGGAGGCAGCAGUGGGGAAUAUUGCACAAUGGGCGCAAGCCUGAUGCAGCGACGCCGCGUGGGGGAUGACGGCCUUCGGGUUGUAAACUCCUUUCGCUAGGGACGAAGCUUUUGUGACGGUACCUAGAUAAGAAGCACCGGCUAACUACGUG
rnacentral:rRNA from 1 species